GACGAACGCUGGCGGCGUGCUUAACACAUGCAAGUCGAACGGAAAGGCCCUGCUUUUGUGGGGUGCUCGAGUGGCGAACGGGUGAGUAACACGUGAGUAACCUGCCCUUGACUUUGGGAUAACUUCAGGAGACUGGGGCUAAUACCGGAUAGGAGCUCCUGCUGCAUGGUGGGGGUUGGAAAGUUUCGGCGGUUGGGGUUGGACUCGCGGCUUAUCAGCUUGUUGGUGGGGUAGUGGCUUACCAAGGCUUUGACGGGUAGCCGGCCUGAGAGGGUGACCGGCCACAUUGGGACUGCGAUACGGACCAGACUCCUACGGGAGGCAGCAGUGGGGAAUAUUGCACAAUGGGCGGAAGCCUGAUGCAGCAACGCCGCGUGCGGGAUGACGGCCUUCGGGUUGUAAACCGCUUUCGCCUGUGACGAAGCGUGAGUGACGGUAAUGGGUAAAGAAGCACCGGCUAACUACGUG
rnacentral:rRNA from 1 species